rnacentral:snoRNA from 12 species
CUUCCCGUUUGACUACCACAUUUUCUCCUUGUAAUAGAUUUUAGUGGCUAUGCUUACGGGAUAGAUUAAAAUCGCCAUGAUCUGAAGAGGGAGGGUUUUUGGUGUCCUCCUCCUAUAUGAAAUGGCUGAACAGAACAUG